CAUCAUCUUGCCAAGGUUGGAGAUCUGCUGACAUAGGAGAGAGACUAAAGUUUAUGAGUCACCAGAAAACAUCACAGUAUUUGGCGCCAGGAGAUCAGUGUCAUGUGGACAACUGAAAGGAGUACGGCUGAACUACUGAUAUUUGAUGAGUCUUACCAUGAGAGGGUCUUACCAUGAGAGGAGAUGCCAUUUUGACUGUGGUGGAGCCAGCCAUGGUUUUGACAAGGGUGGCACCUGCUGGAAUGUUGAGUACAGUGCUUGAAGAGGGUGGGAUCUUCUGUGUGGCUGCUGCAGCUGCAGCCAAAGCUGCCAUGCCACUCAUCUGAGGGCUGCUGCCGACUGGCUAAAAGAAAAACAAACAGUCCUGAGUGAGACAAUACUCUUGGCAUUACUCUCGAGACAACUUUUUAUCCUUGAAUAACAAAACCAUUUCACAAUUGUCCAUACUGUUCCUUGGGCAGUCUGGGCAGGAACAACCAUGCGAACUCCUGGAAGAAGUGAUGUCACAGUGACAGGGGAUUUCCCAGCCUGGUUGGGUCGCACAGUGACAAGGGAGGUACCCGUGCCAGAUGGAGGCGCUGCAACCUUCAAGAUAGCUGUCAAAACAACAGAAAACCUGCUCAGUAUAUAGAGCCUUUGAGGUCUGCUUUUUACAUACCACUUGGUAUACGGUUAUCAAAAUACAAUGGGCUGUAAAGAUGAACAAUGAAAACUGUGACAAUUGUCCAUAAAAUGGUACAAACAACCUCCACUUAACAAGUAGGACAUCCAUGGUUUUACCUGGCCCAUGAGCUGUGGAGGCAGCCAGCGGGCUUCUGGGAAUGUUGGGAAGGAUUGUAGGGGAAGAAGCCUGGGGCACAAUAGUGAUACCUGUGUGUGGUAGGUUCUGAGCAGAGGGAGCAGCUGUGGCUGGGCCCUUAGGCAAGUUCCCUUGCAGAGAGGUGGCGGCAUUGAGGGCCGGCGAGGUCACAGCAGUGGCAGCAGGAAUGUCGUACUUUUGUAGCUGCAGCAGAUAGGUGUCUGCAGUGGACACAGCGCCCCAGCUUACCUCCAGGGAGUUGGUGUUGGCACGGACUAGCUGCACUCUCGAGGGAGCAUGUGGCCUCUCUGUAACCAAAACAUAAAAUGGUCACAUAUCUUAUAAGCAAUCAACAGAAGCAGAGAAAGCCUCACAAAGAGCACAGUUGAGCAAAUACUGUGGGCUUGCUUUACCAGAGUAAAUGAGCAAAUAGGAGUUGACUCACCUGUUUCAAGGUACCAGAGGUCUUUACAGCAGACUUGGUUGUUCCAUGCUUUACGGUAACCGUCACGGCCACUCCAGACAUACAACCUAGAGUUGAUGGCCACAGAGCAAUGUCCUGCCCGGGCCCUUGGGAUAUUGUCCUCCAGAGUAUCCAUCACCACUGAUUCCCAGGCCAUGGAGUCUGGGGUAAAAAGAAACAUGAGGUUUACAUUUUAUUUUUUGACAGUAAUAUAACUUGACCACCAGGUGACACUGCCAUUUACCAAUGAAUGUUCACUCAGACUGAGUUUGUUGGAGUCGAUCAAUUCAUAAUACACAAAUCAAAUCUAGAGAAACAAUCAGUGUGUACGGUUUGAUGCAAGUAGUAGCACCAAUAACUGAAAACGGAGAGACGAACCAAGAUUUAGGCAGGCCAGUGUGUUUGUGCACUUCCAUUCCUUCUCAUGUGUGGCCACCUUCACAUCAUCCAUAACCAGGGGAACCCAUCCCCCAAACACAAACAUCCUACAAUGAGGUAGACAAAGAGAUGAGAAUCAAGCAGUCAUCAAAAAUAAGCUACUGCAGAGAGAUUUAACCAAUUGUUAUUCCAGAGAUCUAAAUGAUCAUAAUAUCAUUUUUAUAAUUUCAACAGGUAUUCAGGGAGAUCUCACUUGUUUGUGAUGGUGGUGGCAGAGUGAAGACUCCUGGGCAGAGGUGCUGUGCCAUUCACUGAUGGCUUAGUCCAGGUCAGGGUGUCUGCAGACAGAGCAGGAUAAUUUAGAUAAUACACAGACUAGACUAAUUUAUGCGAAUAAGAGACAAAGAGUGAUUAUAUACAAUAAUAUGGUAAUACUGUUAACUCAGGAGCCUACCGAUGUCAAGUGUCCAUAGAUCUCCCAGACGACAGCCACUCAUCCCUCCAUAGAUGAUCAGGCGAGAUUUCUUGCUGUCCUUUUCUGUGUACACUACAGCAGUGUGGCUCUCGCGAGGAGGUGGCAAAACACCAUAAGUAAUUGGUAUAUCCCAGCCCACAACACUGGAGCCAGCACGAAGCUCCAAGGUGUACAGAUCAUUCAGGUAUCUAGUUACAAAAUAGAGAUUUCAGUCAGAAAGUAUUUCGAAUUGCUUACUACAAAAUCUCUGUUUGCUUCCAUUCCACAGCAUAAUCUAUCCCAUUACCCCACUGGUCACAUUUCACAUCUCCUUCUUAAGGCAUCUGUACCUGGGGAUGUUGUUUUUGGGGUCCUCGCUGUCAUUAGCCAGUCCUCCAAACAAGUAGCACUUGUUACCCACCAGCGAGAAACUGUGGCCAAGUCGAGGACAGGGAGGCGGGCCAUUUUUGGGAGUCUUAGCUUUCAACUUUUUCCAUUCCCAUCUGCUGGCCUGAACAAAAAAAGCAUAUGCAAAAGAUGAUAGCAUGCUGUAAUCCAUUUACCCCUGGCUUUAGCUCUACCACUGUUAUAGCAAGAAUGUGGUGUAAGCAUCCCAUUACCUGUAGCUCAUAAAGAUCAUUGCUGUAUUUUCCAUAUUCCACCAUUCCACCAAACACCAGAAGCCGGGUGCCAUCACAAACGAAACCAUAUGCAGCACAUCCAGGGGGAAUAUCACCACGAACCGCAGGGAUAAACCAUUGGUUUGUUGCUAGAUUAAAUAGAUAGAGGUUAGUCUGUGUAUAGACAGGUAGACAUUGUUGGGUGGUCAAGUGCUGGGUAGGCCUAUGAUGUGAAGCAAAUGCUCUUUUGAGUAAAUAUUUACUCGAGCAUGUUCCAAGCAUCUCUGACAAAUGUAGCCUGCAUCUUCUUGUUUGAAAGUGUCACAUGAGAAGUGUAUGUUCUAUGCAUUGUACUCUUAUCUGCAUAACCCAAAUUUCAACUGUAACGUCAUUGCGCUCUCAAAAACAUAACAUAUAAUAAUAAUAAAACACUUAUAACUGUG